GACGUAGGGGGCCAGCGUUGUUCGGAAUUACUGGGUGUAAAGGGUUCGUAGGCGGUGUGGCAAGUCGGGAGUGAAAUCUCUGGGCUCAACUCAGAGACUGCUUCCGAAACUGCUGUGCUGGAGUGUGGGAGAGGCGCGUGGAAUUGCAGGUGUAGCGGUGAAAUGCGUAGAUAUCGAGAGGAACACCUGCGGCGAAGGCGGGUUGCUGGGCUGACACUGACGCUGAUGUGCGAAAGCUAGGGGAGCGAACGGG
rnacentral:rRNA from 1 species